CCACCGGGGGCAUCCAGCACUGCUAACGAUCCCUCCUUGCUUCUCCAGUAUCUCCGAACACACUUUCCUCUCCGUAGGAUGCUGCUGCAUUUUGGGCAGCUUCUGAAAGACGAAGAUGAAGAUUACAUGAUUCCUAGGAGGAGAAGGAGGCCCCGGGUAUUGCUCUGUUUAUCUUCUUUCUCUGUUGUAUCAUCUUUCUCUUUCUGUCUUUGUUUCUUUCCUUCUUUCCUUUUCUUCCUUCCAUUCCUUUUCCUUUCUUCCUUCCUUCCUUCCUUCCUUCUCUCCUUCCCUCCUUCCCCUUUCUCUUUUUUCCCUCUCACCUGCCCUUCCUACCCUUUGAAAACAUUAAAUGUCUCUAUAUCUUUGGCACCAUGAACUUCUCUCAGCAUAUAUUCCAGGUGCUUCAUGAAAACAAAACGACUUGUUCUUUUUAUACUAGAUGCAGUAGUUCAGGGUUUCCGAAGGAUUUUUUGUGAGCUUGUUCAUUUUUUCCCCUUGGUUAAAAAUAAAAACCCUUAU
rnacentral:lncRNA from 1 species